rfam:Hepatitis E virus strain Osh 205, complete genome.
GAGACUGUUAAACCGGUACUGGAUCUUACGAACUCCAUUAUACAGAGGCUAGAAUGAAUAACAUGUCUUGUGCAUCGCCCAUGGGAUCGCCAUGUGCCCUCGGGCUGUUUUGCUGUUGUUCCUCGUGCUUUUGCCUAUGCUGCCCGC